AGGGGGCGAGCGUUGUCCGGAUUUAUUGGGCGUAAAGAGCUCGUAGGCGGUUCAACAAGUCGGUCGUGAAGUUCAGGGCUCACCCUGAAAUGUCGAUCGAUACUGUUGUGACUAGGAUACGGUAGAGGUGAGUGGAAUUCCGAGUGUAGCGGUGAAAUGCGUAGAUAUUCGGAGGAACACCAAUUGCGAAGCAGCUCACUGGGCCGAUAUCGACGCU
rnacentral:rRNA from 1 species